rnacentral:rRNA from 1 species
UACAGAGGGUGCGAGCGUUGUUCGGAAUUAUUGGGCGUAAAGGGCGCGUAGGCGGCCCUCGUUUGUCGCGUGUGAAAGCCCCGGGCUCAACCUGGGAGGUGCGCGCGAGACGGCGGGGCUGGAGUUCGGGAGAGGAGAGUGGAAUUCCCAGUGUAGAGGUGAAAUUCGUAGAUAUUGGGAAGAACACCGGUGGCGAAGGCGGCUCACUGGCUCGUUUCUGACGCUCAGGCGCGACAGCGUGGGGAUCAAACAGG